rnacentral:rRNA from 1 species
GUCGAGAAUCUUUCACAAUGGGGGCAACCCUGAUGGAGCGACGCCGCGUGGAGGAUAAGGUCUUCGGAUUGUAAACUCCUGUCAUGCGUGAACAAGGUUGCUUGGUUAAUACCUGGGCAAAUUGAUGGUAACGCAAGAGGAAGAGACGGCUAACUCUGUGCCAGCAGCCGCGGUAAUACAGAGGUCUCAAGCGUUGUUCGGAAUCACUGGGCGUAAAGGGUGCGUAGGUGGCGUGGUAAGUCAGAUGUGAAAGCCCGGGGCUCAACCUCGGAAAUGCAUCCGAUACUGCCAUGCUAGAGUACUGGAGAGGUGACUAGAAUUCUCGGUGUAGCAGUGAAAUGCGUAGAUAUCGAGAGGAAUACCAAAGGCGUAGGCAGGUCACUGGACAGUUACUGACACUGAGGCACGAAGGCCAGGGGAGCGAACGGGAUUAGAUACCCUAGUAGUCC